GUGAAACUUCUUUGGAAAUUCAAUUAUCGACUCAUACGGGGCCGUAAUCGCAGCUCAGAAAAUAUGGUUUAUUCAAAUAAGCUGGCACAGAGAGGAUAAAGGGGCCCAAAUCAGUGGAACAAUGAGGUCCUGUAAGGCGGUUGCAGGCCAGGCUGUUUCAGCUGGACACGGCUGACAGCCGGACUGCAGUCCCUGCACCAGAAGCUGCAGUUGCAGCUGCAAGGCUGGCAGAUGCUGGAGAGGCACCUUGCCAAAGAGAGACGAGCUGAACAACUACAAGCAUCUGCAGGAACUGCAUCAGUUGUCUACAUCAGGCUUCUGAGAGAAGAUCUUGAUAAGAUAUCUUCAAUCUCGUCUCGUUGAAGCUAUCUUAUCGAUAUAUUUUAUUAUUAUUAUUAUUGCGAACAUGGAUGAAUAGACGAAUGUCAAUUUGGCAAACCACACACUGGAAUUUCAAGUUCAAAAUUUUGUCAAAACAUAAUGCUCAGUUUGUGAUAAUUUGUGCUGUGAAAAACAGAAUUUGUGCUGAAAUACAUAUAAAGUUAUAGCACAUACAAAGGUGGUCACCAACUGUAUACCAGAUUAUUUCUUGUUUUCAGUAGCUGCUACGAUUGACAUAAAAAUGAGCCUUUAAAUCUGAAAAAACAAUUAAGUAAAGAGUUGUUUAGUACAAAACACAUAUUAUAAUCAAUUAAAUGCGAAUAUGUUAUGCAUUUAUUAAAAAUCAUGUGCGUAACACAAAAUAUUAGCAGAAAACUAUUUCAGGAUACUUUAUCUCGUAAGUUGAUAAGCGACAUUAAGAAAGGAUUGUUUGCAAAUAUGUACAACUUGCUGGAGUAUCAGCGCUUCUCUACGGCACUCUGCAGGCGGAAAACACCAUUACCACCCCUCCUAGUGGGUGCACCACUGUCGUUAAAAACAGCCGUUGCCGUGGAAACGAAGAAAACAUCUACAGUAAAUUGGAAAAAUUUCAACAAGAAUAAAUCAAUCCUACUUGAGGGGUAGUUUUCUCGAAAUCUCAGCUAUACAGUGACCUUCCUCGUGUAAAAUUACUCAAUAAAUGUGUGAAUAAAAUUCCAGAU